rnacentral:tRNA from 1 species
GGUCCGGUAGCUCAGCUGGUAGAGCACCUGCCUGAAGAGCAGGGUGUCGGGGGUUCAAAUCCCUCUCGGACCAC